rnacentral:rRNA from 1 species
UGGGGAAUCUUCCGCAAUGGACGAAAGUCUGACGGAGCAACGCCGCGUGAGUGAUGACGGCCUUCGGGUUGUAAAGCUCGGUUAAUCGGGACGAAUGGUUCUUGUGCGAAUAGUGCAAGGAUUUGACGGUACCGGAAUAGAAAGCCACGGCUAACUACGUGCCAGCAGCCGCGGUAAUACGUAGGUGGCAAGCGUUGUCCGGAAUUAUUGGGCGUAAAGCGCGCGCAGGCGGAUUGGUCAGUCUGUCUUAAAAGUUCGGGGCUUAACCCCGUGAUGGGAUGGAAACUACCAAUCUAGAAUAUCGGAGAGGAAAGUGGAAUUCCUAGUGUAGCGGUGAAAUGCGUAGAUAUUAGGAAGAACACCAGUAGCGAAGGCGACUUUCUGGACGAAGACUGACGCUGAGGCGCGAAAGCCAGGGGAGCGAACGGG